UGGGGAAUUUUGGACAAUGGGGGAAACCCUGAUCCAGCCAUCCCGCGUGUGCGAUGAAGGCCUUCGGGUUGUAAAGCACUUUUGGCAGGAAAGAAACGUCAUGGGUUAAUACCCCGUGAAACUGACGGUACCUGCAGAAUAAGCACCGGCUAACUACGUGCCAGCAGCCGCGGUAAUACGUAGGGUGCAAGCGUUAAUCGGAAUUACUGGGCGUAAAGCGUGCGCAGGCGGUUCGGAAAGAAAGAUGUGAAAUCCCAGAGCUCAACUUUGGAACUGCAUUUUUAACUACCGGGCUAGAGUGUGUCAGAGGGAGGUGGAAUUCCGCGUGUAGCAGUGAAAUGCGUAGAUAUGCGGAGGAACACCGAUGGCGAAGGCAGCAUCCGGAGAUAACACUAACGCUCAUGCACGAGGACGUGGGGAGCAAACAAG
rnacentral:rRNA from 1 species